GGCUAGGUCUUAGCAUAAACAGAAUAGUCACCAUUAUUGACUUUCUGGAUUAUGACAUGGUAAUGCAUAGAAGUUACAGUAUCCAAAAAGUUGUAAGCCCCUGGCUCGAUUGAUGUAAUCUGUGGGCACCAUGAGGCAACAUGUUUUUGUGUGUGUGUGUGUGUGUAUAUAUAUACAAACACUUUUUUUUCUUUUUAGAGUGGAGCUCUUAAGAUUAUUGACAGAAAGAAGAACAUCUUCAAAUUGGCACAAGGAGAAUACAUUGCUCCUGAAAAGAUUGAGAACGUGUAUGUGAGAAGCGGCCCUGUAGCUCAAGUGUUUGUGCAUGGAGACAGCUUGAAGUCUUGCUUGGUGGGUAUUGUGGUACCUGAUCCAGAGGUGCUUCCAGAUUUUGCUGCCAAAAAAGGAAUUAAAGGAUCUUUGGAAGACCUCUGUAAGAAUGCCGACAUAAAGAAAGCGAUCAAAGAGGAUAUGUUGAAGCUGGGAAAAGAGUCUGGGCUUCAGUCUUUUGAGCAGAUAAAGGACCUAUAUCUUCACCCAGAACAGUUUACCAUUGAAAAUGGACUACUGACCCCAACUCUGAAGGCAAAGAGAGCAGAGCUGACCAAAGUCUUCAAAGAUGAAAUCGACAAGCUCUAUGUAUCACUGCAGUGAAUACUGUACCUGACACAGUGUCAGUUUUGUUCCAUCUGAAGACAUAUGGACUCUUGUGCCUCACUGAUCCACAGAGUGAAAGUAUGUGAAAGAGCUGCACUGUGGACUUCCAAAGGAAGGCUAUUCAAUAGGCUCCGCAUUGUAGCUCAGCGAAAGCUGCGCAAUCAUGCACUGUACAAGAUUUGCAUGUAUACUACGGAUGUGAUAUUUUCACAACAGUUCUAAAGAUGACAACCAUCAGGUGUAUUUGAAAACAUUUUUUUUUCAAUUGUACUCUAGAUUGCAAACAUUAAAUAUACCUGUUCACAACAGUCAGUGUACUACAUCCAGAUGCAGCUGUGAAUGCUAUGAAUUUGAACUGCUAUAAAGAUCCCCAACAACCAAUAUAUGUAUCACAUUUGUAGAGAAUAUUUUUUUUGUAAUACUGUUUAAUAUAUGGAUUGAAAUUAAUAAAAAAAACAAUAAUAAUAA